UACGAAGGGGGCUAGCGCUGCUCGGAAUCACUGGGCGUAAAGCGCACGUAGGCGGACUCUUAAGUCGGUGGUGAAAUCCUGGAGCUCAACUCCAGAACUGCCUUCGAUACUGAGAGUCUCGAGUCCGGGAGAGGUGAGUGGAACUGCGAGUGUAGAGGUGAAAUUCGUAGAUAUUCGCAAGAACACCAGUGGCGAAGGCGGCUCACUGGCCCGGUACUGACGCUGAGGUGCGAAAGCGUGGGGAGCAAACAGGG
rnacentral:rRNA from 1 species